rnacentral:misc_RNA from 1 species
GAUGAAGAACGUAGCGAAAUGCGAUACGUAGUGUGAAUUGCAGAAUUCCGUGAAUCAUCGAAUCUUUGAACGCAUAUUGCGGUCGAGGCUCCGGCCGAGACCAUGUCUGCCUCAGCGUCGGUGUGAACCCCACACUCCCCCCUCCGGGGGCGGAGUGGAUCUGGUCUCCCCACUGCUCGUCAGUGGGCUGGCCGAAAUUCAGAGGUUUAAGCUUGGACCUGUAUGGCACCAGCAAGGUAGGUAGCUCGUCUACUCCAGCUGAUGCUUUGGGUACUGGCAGUGAGCCCGCAGGAAAACACCACUCUUUCGACCUGAGAUCAGGCAAGGCUACCCGCUGAACUUAAGCAUAUCAAUAAGCGCAGGA